GGCAUUCAGACAACAGAUACGAAAAACCAUUGUCUGAACCUUGUCCAUGCAUGAAUUAAACAAGGGCUUCUUGCUAUUCAAAACCACGCCACCUAGCCUAUACUUCAUUUUGGGAACGAAAGAAUUAACAAAACCCAACCUUAUCUCCUUGAGAAACCCCUUCUUCGACAGACCUCGAGUCCUCGACCCUCUCCCUCUCUCUUCUUCGACACAACUCUCCCUCCCUCUUCUUCGUCACAACUCUCCCUCCCUCUUCUUGACAAGCCCCAACCUUUUCUCCUCCACAGACCCCGACCUAUCUUUUCUCUAACAAGCCCCAACAAAAGCUCUCCCUCUUCGACAAACCCCGACCAAAACAUCUCUGCCUCUAGCUAGGUUAUUCGAUUUGGGAAAUAGGGAAGGGAAGAAAACUUAAUGGGUAGCCUCUAGGAAGUCUCAGAGCACCAAUUAAAGAGAGAGAAAGAGAGCGAUUUUUCGUUUCUAGGGAUUACUCUGCGCGAUCAAUGCGAGUUCCAAAGAUGCAGAAGCUAGGGUUUCCGAGCAUGAGGAGCUUGGAUCAGUUCAAGUCCCUCUCCAAAUCGGUCUCAGGAGGACCUCCAAAAGACCUUCGCCUACUCUUCACGUCCGCCGGAGUCGACCUUGUUGGGAUGUUUGGCAUCAUGCUUCAACGCGAGACCAUGGAGAAGCUCCAACAAUAACACAAUCAGCAAUAUUGGUUUGUCUAUUGGGAUCUCAUUUUUAAUUUGUGAAAAGUCACGAAGAUGGUUGUUGUAAAUCUGGAAGGAAAAGUUGGAUGGGUGGAGAGGUAUGACAGUAUGUGGUGGGUUGAGCACAAAAUAUUGGUUCAGAAUCAAAAGGAAUGGAAACAUGAAGGCAUAUAAAUUAAGAUAGAGAAGGCCAUAUAUGAUCAAGUGCACAUCUUGGUGCUUCUGAUCUUGUUACGGUGUAAAAGAGCAUGGGAAAUUCUGGUGUGUACAUCUCUCUAUGUUUCAAGUUAUGAUCUUUUUCAAUUGGUCAAAGUUAUAGCUCAUGCUUAACGUCAGAAAUUAAUCCUAGUCACAUAAUCAGAGAUUUGGGAAGGUACAUGAUUAUAUUCAGCUAUCAGUGAAACUUUACACUUUCAUAAGUGAAACUUUACACUUUCAUAAGUGAAACUUUACAUUCAAAGCAAUAAAAUGUUUGAUGAUCCUUAGCAUGAUGCUUUUUAUUUUGGGCAUCACUUUAAUCUCGUUCAAAGUGGGGUAAUGCUUUAUUGAUGAUGCCUUUGAUAUCACCUUGAAAAUAUAUAGUAUGGAUUUGUACUCUUUUAAAGCAAUUUUAGAACCAGUUUUCAAGUGUAAGUGUGCAACCAUCAAGUAGCUUAAUACUUGUGUGUUUAAGAAUUGAUUUUGUUGAGUUACCACUUAUAUAUCUGUGUUUAAGAAUUGAUUUUGUUGAACAUAGAUUUGACAUUUUCAAAUGUUUGGUGUAAAGUUGACAUGAAGCAAAAUCUGUUGGGAUUGGGAAGGUACUUAAGUUCACUGUUGUUCAAUUAUUUUGUUGUUCUCCAGUUCUGUUUGAGAGUGAGGUUGCUUGGUUUUCAUUUGUCUCAAUGCUGAUAAUAUUGGUUCUAUAUUUUUGAAUUGCAUCUUGGAUCAGAAUCCUCUCAAGGGAAUGAAAGAUCUGUAGCUUGAUAGAAAUCUAAAGACACAAAAAGAAGAAGGGCCAUUGAUCAGGUUGUGAAUGGAUGGUAUCUUACUGCUGUGAAUGUCCUUGUCAAAGUGAAAAAAAGAAAGAGAAGCCUUUUCCCUGAGGUUUAAAAGCUGGAGAGAAUAAAGUCUGGCUCUUUAAAUUUAAAGUUUCAUCAAAGCCAAAUUCCAUACUGGGUAUUCUUCUUCAUUUGACAUAUAGAGAUGCUUUCAUGUUGGUGAUCAAGGUACCAAUAUAUUUUUACAUGUUCAAGGGCUAAUUGGAAUUAGUUUAAACCCCAUUUGUUAAUUUUAGAACAUCAAAGUCAGAAGAGAGUAUUUUUGGUGUAUAAAGUGGUGAUCAUUCCGGCAACCACAAGCUUUUGAGUGCAGACAAAGUCAUGUGAAUCUUUCUUCCAUGUGGAAAUGGUUUCAGUUAUUCCUUGAGCAGUUGCAUAGUGUUCUUCAAGAAAAUGAAGAAUCCAUUAGAGUCAUGAUGAGCUCAUACUUAGGAGCCGUGAUCAGUCAGUAUUCGACUAUGGAAAGUGCACACAAAUAUAAAGGAAGAGGACAUGGCAGAUUGAAGAAGAGACGGAUAGUGAGCUAGAGAUUGCUGUCUAUUUUGUACCUUUAUGCAGUCUGCAAAUCUAGAGGAGUUCGAAGAAGAAUUUAAGGGUAUUAACCAAGAAGAGCAGAUCUGCAGACUUCACAAAAUGCUCGCUUCUUACCUUCUUUCAAGUAUAAAUGCAAAACUCUAUUGAGCAUAUGUAAAUGUGCACUGUUUUAGAGUAUGUAAAUGUUCAAUGUUUCUUAAGAAUGAAUGUGUGAAAUUUAGCAAGCAAACAAACCCGCAGCAUUGCGCGGGCUGUCUCGCUAGUAAUAGCUAUUUAUUAUGAGAAAAUUACUGUUCAUUUGGUUAA